GCGGGUCGGUGGGUGCGUGGGCUGUGCUUGUUAGUGCGUGCGUGUCUGUGCGGGUGCGAGGGGCGUGCGAAGCUCGAGUGCGUGUGUGCAGCCUGUGUGUGUGAGUGUGCAAGGCGCGUGUGCGAGGCGCGGCCCGAUUCCCCCCCACCCCCUACACGUUGAUCUUAUUCGAUCGGCCGGGCCGGGCCGGGCCGAGGUGAGAAGAAGCGGCGCCGCGAAGCCCCCGGGCGCUGUGCGGCGGCCGGCGGCGGGCGGGAUGAGUCGAUCAGAUAGGCGAGGCCGCGGCCGCUGAGCGCCCUGCGAUUCUGACCCGC